UCUUGAGACUUGGCCAAUUCUUGAUACUUGGGAGACACUUGAGACCUACAGGAACUGCUCACAGUCUUUUCACUCAAUGGUUCUAUUAGAUUUGAAAUUUCAUGGCCAGAGGAUGACAGAUCAUUGACAACAGAUUCUACUUCUAAACCAUCAAGAGCAUCAGCACUGGCAGAACUUCCAAUAUUGUCUGAACUAGAAGGUUCUUCAUUUAUAUUAGACGUAUGUUCAUGGGCAACUGUAUUUGAAGGAAUAGAAAUCGGCAAUUCACUGACCAUUCCUUUGUUUGGGGAAAAGUCAGAUGCAACAUGAGAUUCAGAUUUAGCUGGAAAAUCAACUGAAAUAUGCUGUGUCAUCUUGCAUGCUUCAUCUUCUAUUCCUUCAUUGUUAACAUUGGAGGAAAAUUGCUCCAAUUCAUGCUUCGUUUGGCAUUCAAGGUCAUUUUCAGAUUCUGAUUCUAUGGUGUUAAGGGCAUCUUCGUAAUUGUCUGGUUCACUUUCGACUUCAUCAAUCUCAAUUCUAUCAUUGCUUGAUUUCUGUGUAUCUUUACUGUCAAAAACCACGCCCCUUUCAUCAGGAUCUCUAAGGUCAGCAAUUUCCUCAUGCUGAAAGCCUAGAUCAUAAUCUGUGGUGAACAUCUCUGGAGAUUCAUUUCCAUCACAAUUUAGACCCUUAGUCUCCACUAUUUCUGCUUUUUCAUCCCACGUAUCACAAGAUGAACCAGGCACAAUUGGCUCAGGUGAUGAACUCUGAGGGAAAUUCUUAGUUUCAAUGCUGCAUUGUCCAUCAGGGAAAACUGAAUCAGGGAUAUCAUUAUGAUGCAUGAACCUUGAAGAGAAUUCCUUAGAUUCCUGUUCUUCAGGUUGCCCAGAGGAACUCAAAUGGAAAACACAUUCAACAUAAGCUGACUCAGUUCUUGAAUCAAAUGAAUUUGAAUGAUCACCCAGAUCAGAUUUCACUGUCAUGUCAUUUGUGGAGGCUGUACGAGAAGGAGAAGAAGUCCGCCCAUUAACAAUUGUAGUAGCAUACUGCAUUCUGCACAGUCAAAUAUCAUGCGCACGUCAAUUUCAUCAAACUGAACAUGGCAACGUUAACUUCAGAUAGAUGUUAUACCCGGCACUCUGAUUUGGCAUUGAUGCAGAACGCAGAAAGUCGGCAUUCCUUUGUGACGAUCUUUUUUUCUUGUUUUUUCGAGCCUUCUUUUCUUUUGGGACUUUCUCAACAUAUGGUUCAUUGUAGUUGCCUGAUGCUCUUCUAAAAAAGGUUGGAUCAGAAUAUCUCUUUAAACAAGAUCCUGGGCCACCAGUAUCAAAUUUGUCAAGCAAGUGUAAGCGUGGAGGAUCACGACAUUCUUCAUAAGAGUCCAUAAUAAAUCGAGGCAAGUCAUUAUAGAUAAAAUGGUUUUGUCCAUUAUGAAUACGAGAACGCCAUUCAGAACCAGCUGUGUAGGCAAGGUGUAUGUGACUUGUUUGGGCUAGCACUGCCUUCUCUAGAGAAGGAAGCGUAGCUUCAAUGUUUUGCACACGAACCCUCAAUUUAUGACUUCUAGAAGCUGUAGUCAUUACUUGCUCCUGUAAGCCAUGAAAAACCUCUGCUGCAAAUUCAGCGAGAUCGCCUAAUUGGCGCAAGAUCCCAACGAGACCAGCAACAGCGACACCAUCAAGCACAGCCUUAGGAUCUUCACGGUUAGCUUCUUUGUAGAGCUCAGGCUGACCCAACCUAUACUCAUUCCUCACUUGAAACCUCACCAGAGGCAUUUUAGCUUCUCCUCUCUAAUUCCAGCUCAGUAGCUUCCAAACGGAGAAGAAGAAAUAUUAUUCACAUAGAAGACAUAGCAGAGGAGCAGAGCAAUAAGUGUAAUAUUGAAUGAAUGGAAGUGAAAUGAAUGAAAGAAACAAUAAAUGAAGAAAUGAUGAGAAAGACAAAGAGCGAAUGAGGUUUUCUAG
rnacentral:misc_RNA from 1 species